ACCCGUUGAUCCUGCGGGAGAUUGCUGCUAUUGGAAUUCGACUAAGCCAUGCAAGUCUUCUAGCAAUAGAGGCGAAAGGCUCAGUAACACGUCGUUAAUCUGCCCUAAGGUCAGGGAUACCCACGGGAAACUGUGGUUAACACCUGAUAAGGAAUACAUACUGGAAUGUAGUAUUCUAUAAAUUCGAGCCUUAGGAUGAGACGGCGGCCGAUUAGGCUGUUGGCGGUGUAAAGGACCACCAAACCAAUGAUCGGUACGGGCCAUGAGAGUGGUAGCCCGGAGAGGGACACUGAGAUACUGGUCCCAGCCCUACGGGGUGCAGCAGGCGCGAAACCUUUACAAUGCACGCAAGUGUGAUAAGGGAAUUCCAAGUGCUCAAGCAUUGCUUGGGCUUUUGCUAAGUGUAAAUAGCUUGGCGAAUAAGUGGUGGGAAAGACUGGUGCCAGCCGCCGCGGUAACACCAGCGCCACAAGUGGCAGUCGCGUUUAUUGGGCCUAAAGCGUCCGUAGCAGGUUUCAUGAAUCUCUUGUGAAACUGCCAGGCUUAACCUGGCAACGUGCAGGAGACACUGUGAGACUCGAGACCGGGAAGGGUAAGAGGUAUUCCUGAGGGAGCGGUAAAAUGCUAUAAUCUCAGGAGGACCACCUGUGGCGAAGGCGUCUUACUAGAACGGAUCUGACUGUGAGGGACGAAAGCUAGGGGAGCAAACCGGAUUAGAUACCCGAGUAGUCCUAGCCGUAAACGCUGUGAGCUAGGUGUUGCGUAUUCUACGGGAAUGCGCAGUGUCGAAAGGAAGCUAUUAAGCUCACCGCCUGGGAAGUACGGUCGCAAGACUGAAACUUUAAGGGAUUGGCGGGGGCGCACCACAAGGGGUGCGGCGUGCGGUUUAAUCUAACUCAACACAGAGAACCUUACUAGAAGCGACGGCAGGAAGAAGGUCAUGCUAAAGACAUUACCUGACAAGCCGAGAGGUGGUGCAUGGCCGUCGUCAGCUCGUGCUAUGAAGUGUCCAGUUAAGUCUGGCAACGAGCGAGACCUGUAUUUGCUAUUGCUAGCGGCUCUUCGGAGGACCGAGCACAUUGCAAGGACUGCCUUGGAAACAAGGAGGAAGGUGCAGGCUACGGUAGGUCUGUAUGCCCCGAAUCUUCUAGGCUACACGCGCGCAACAAUGGUAGGGACAAUGGGAUGCAACCCCGAAAGGGGAAGCUAAACCUCUAAACCCUAUCUUAGUCCAGAUUGAGGAUUGCAACUCAUCCUCAUGACGACGGAAUCCCUAGUAAUCAGACUUCAUCAAAGUCUGGUGAAUAUGUCCCUGCGCCUUGCACACACCGCCCGUCAAACCAACCGAGCAGGGUUUAGGUAAAAUAAAGCCUAUUAGUUUUAUUGAAUCUAAGCUCAGUGAGGCGGGUUAAGUCGUCACAAGGUA
rnacentral:rRNA from 1 species